ACUCAAAUGAAUUGACGGGGGCCCGCACAAGCGGUGGAGCAUGUGGUUUAAUUCGAUGCUACGCGAAGAACCUUACCCAGACUUGACAUCCCGGGCUAUCCUAAGAAAUUAGGAGUUCCCUUUUAGGGACCCGGUGACAGGUGCUGCAUGGCUGUCGUCAGCUCGUGUUGUGAGAUGUUGGGUUAAGUCCCGCAACGAGCGCAACCCCUGUCGCUAGUUACCAUCAUUUAGUUGGGCACUCUAGCGAGACCGCUGGGCUAUAAGCCAGAGGAAGGUGGGGACGACGUCAAGUCCUCAUGGCCUGUAUGUCUGGGGCUACACACGUGCUACAAUGGGAAGUACAAAGCGCAGCAAGCUCGCGAGAGCAAGCAAAUCGCAAAAAACUUCUCACAGUUCGGAUUGAAGUCUGCAACUCGACUUCAUGAAGCUGGAAUCGCUAGUAAUCGCGGAUCAGCACGCCGCGGUGAAUACGUUCCCGGGCCUUGCACACACCGCCCGU
rnacentral:rRNA from 1 species